UCAACAUGAUGACGGUAUCAAUUUCAGUUCUGCUACUGAAUACACAAUGUGGACAACAUAUACCAUGCUUACCUUGUCUGAUUU
rnacentral:snoRNA from 1 species